GGCAGUUUUCAGGUGACGCACCCCAGAAUUGGGCUCCCUCCUCUCUGGUUCCUGGUGCGUCACCUAAGAAUCUCA
rfam:Myotis lucifugus cont2.6527, whole genome shotgun sequence.